rnacentral:rRNA from 1 species
AGGUUGAUAGGCUUCAGGUGUAAGUGUGGUAACGCACUCAGCUGAGAAGUACUAAUAGGUCGAGGACUUAUCCUU